CGGACGAACGCUGGCGGCGUGCUUAACACAUGCAAGUCGAACGGUGACGAGGAGCUUGCUCCUCUGAUCAGUGGCGAACGGGUGAGUAACACGUGGGCAACCUGCCCCUGACUUCGGGAUAACGCUUCGAAAGAGGUGCUAAUACCGGAUAUGAGUCCCUCCGGCAUCUGAGGGACUGGAAAGUUUUUCGGUCAGGGAUGGGCCCGCGGCCUAUCAGCUUGUUGGUGAGGUAACGGCUCACCAAGGCGACGACGGGUAGCCGGCCUGAGAGGGUGAUCGGCCACAUUGGGACUGAGAUACGGCCCAGACUCCUACGGGAGGCAGCAGUAGGGAAUAUUGCGCAAUGGGGGGAACCCUGACGCAGCAACGCCACGUGUGGGAAGAAGCAUUUCGGUGUGUAAACCACUGUCGGAAAGGAAUAACGGAAGACUUCGGUCUUUAUGAAUGUACUUUUAGAGGAAGCACCGGCAAACUUCGUG
rnacentral:rRNA from 1 species